AAAAUAUUCCUUGGCUUAUGCCGACAACAUAGAUACCAAAUAUGUCAGAGUACGCUGAACUUCCUGUCCGCCAUUUUGAUUUAUGUUGAAAACCUACUUUUUCGAACUCCUCAUCAACCGUUGGUCCGAUUUUCACCAAAAUUGAAUCAGAUGAUCUUCAGACUGUGCUGACAAAAUGUUAUGGAUUUUGUAUCGAUAGACAAAAUCGUUUUCGCAUACCACAGCGACGAAUUUCAGGCAUGAUGCCAAAAUGACACUUCAGCCUGUAUCUCUGCAAUGCUUUGGCAUACUGACACCAACCUUUGUGUGUGCCAUUGUCACCUCACACAGAACACACCAAAAUGAUUUAAUUACAGCGCCACCUGUUGGUCAAAAGUUAUAAGUCAUUUAAUCAUAAUACUAGUGCUUGUAUUUAUGAUUUUUCCGCAAUUUCAAUUACAAUCAUCCUAAAAUUGCUGUAAUUGCUCAUUGUUACAUUUGGUGUGAUGCUCCAUGCCAUGCUUAGCUCCUCAAUUUGCCUCUGGAGUGCUUGGCCCCGUAAUUGCUGCUUGCAGCUAUAUUUCUUCUUCUUCUUCUUCUUCUUCUUCUUCUUCUUCUUCUUCUUCUUCUUCUUCUUCUUCUUCCGCCGCAAGUCUAUGGCAGCCCAUAGAACCGAUUGCGGGAAAGUUGUAUAAUUUGGCACACUGAUAGAGGACAGUCCCAGCAUUAACUAUAGCAAAUUUGAAGUCUCUAACUCCAACUCUCUAGCGCCACCACUUGUCCAAAAUUUCAAUAUUUUUAUGCUAAUAACUUUUGAACCGUAAGCCACAAAAUGAAAAUUCUUUUUUCCUCUGAAUCCUUGGCUCAGGCCAAGUCGAAUGAACCCCGAAAUUCAAAAAUCGCAAGGUUUAGUUUUUUUCGCUAUUUUCAAUUGUUCGAAAAACAUACUUUUUCGAACUCGUCCUAGACGGUUAGUCCGAUUUUCACGAAAAUUGGCUCAGUUCAUCUUCUGAUGAUGCCGACAAAAAGUUAUGGAAUUGAAGUUGAUUCGUCCAACCGUUCUCGACUACCACGCAAAAAAAUUCUACGAAAAACACGCAAAAAUGCUUGUGAGGC
ensembl:lncRNA